rfam:Triticum aestivum genome assembly, contig: Triticum_aestivum_CS42_TGACv1_scaffold_252199_3DL
UUUAUACUCCCUCCGUCCCAAAAUAAGUGUCUCAACUCUGGUACAACUUUAUACUAAAGUUAGUACAAAGUUGAGACACUUAUUUUGGGACGGAGGGAGUACCAU